rnacentral:rRNA from 1 species
AAGUCGUAACAAGGUAACCGUAGGUGAACCUGCGGUUGGAUCAUUAACAAAAUGAUAGAGAGUUGAUGGUGGGGGGUUAAACCUUUAUUAUCAAUUUCUUUAUAAACACCUGUGAACUGUAAUUGUAUCUGGUGGGUUAAAAGGGGGGGAGUCGAAAGAUUUUCCGCUAGUGAAUUUAAUACUUCAUUACCCACCAACAAUAUUUGAACUUUUUUAAAUAUCUAAAUUAUAAAUAAUCUUUUAAAUUAAAACAACUUUUGACAACGGAUCUCUAGGCUCUCGCAACGAUGAAGAACGCAGCGAAAUGCGAUAAGUAAUGUGAAUUGCAAAAUUCCGUGAAUCAUUAAAUCUUUGAACGCACCUUGCGCUCUUUGGCAAUCCAGAGAGCAUGUCUGUUUGAGAAUCAGUUUAAAUCUCAUAAUAAUUAUUAUUUGUUUAAUUAGUUAUUAUGGCUGUGGGUUUUUCUGUCAAAUGAAAUUCCUUAAGUUGAAUUUGCUUGGUAUUUAAUUCGAGUAUAUCGGAAAGCAUGACCAAUGGGACUUUUAUAGAUCCUUGAAGAUUGCUGAUAAAGAGUAUAUUUAAAUUAGAUUUAGGAAUUUAUUUCCGACCAUUCAAUUAUUAAACACCGGGGUAUUUUACCUUGAAGACUUGAUCUCAAAUCAGACAGACUACCCGCUGAACUUAAGCAUAUCAUAAGCGAGGAAAAGAAACUAACAAGGAUUCCCCUAGUAACGGCGAGUGAAGCGGGAAUAGCUCAAAUUUAAAAUCUCACGGGUUUCCUGUGCGAAUUGUAGUUUAAAGAAGUAUUUUCGGAGGCACACCAAGUCCAAGUCCUUUGGAACGAGGCAUCAUAGAGGGUGAGAAUCCCGUCUUUGAUUUGGUUUGUGUUUCUAUGUGAUAUACUUUCAAAGAGUCGGGUUGUUUGGGAAUGCAGCCCAAAAUGGGUGGUAUAUAUCAUCUAAAGCUAAAUAUUGGCGAGAGACCGAUAGCGAACAAGUACCGUGAGGGAAAGAUGAAAAGAACUUUGAAAAGAGAGUUAAAUAGUACGUGAAAUUGUCAAAAGGGAAACGUUUAAAACCAGUUUUGUUUAUUGAAUCGCAACUCGUUUAACGGCGAGCCCAUGUUUUAGUAAACAGGUCAACAUCGGUUUGAUUUAAAAUAUAAAGCUUGAAGAAGGUAGCGUUUUUUCGAAUCCGUGUUAUAGCUUCAAGUAAUGUUUUGAAUUGGACCGAGGAAAGCAGCGCAGUUUUUGCCUUGCCGUUCAUAAAUUGAUGUUUAUUGAUUGACUACUUGUAGACAAUCAAUUUAAUAAGAUUUCCUGGGCGGUUCGAGGACACCUGUGCUUAGGAUGUUGACAUAAUGGUUUUAAGCGACC